rnacentral:lncRNA from 1 species
CUCUAGUGACUCAGACCUAUAUUCUGCACUGUAGGAGAAUUGCUAUAGGUCCAGCUCAUUGUGGGUUUCAGAAAACCUAAACUACCAGAAAAAGUAGGGGAAAUGGGGGAAAGGUAAAGCUGUUUUACUUAUAGUAGAAAUAGUACUAAAUUUGGUGUUGGGUUUCUUUUCUACUGUAUUAAAUGCUAUCAUUAAGUCAGUUGAACUACUGUUCUUUCUCUAUUUCAUCCCCUACUUUUAAUUGUACAAAUUUGCAAACUUAAAAAAAAUCUUAAAGCUUGAGUUUUUUAGAUUUAAGAUUUUUUUUUCACUGAAGGGUUUUGGUUUGCUAAAUGGAAAAGUAGGCUUUUGGGGGGGGGGGGGAGCAAUGCCUGUAACUCUCCACAGUGCAUUGCUGUAGCUUUAUAGGUUUGUGUGAGAAGUGCUAGGCAUGGUGGCCCAUGACUACUUCAAGAGAACUAUUUGAUAACUUAGUUUGACGAGAGAAAAGUGGCAUGAAUAAUCAGCAUAGUAGUUCCCUUGAACCUGGCUGACUAAAAAUGUUUGAUAUUUUCAGUUGAUGCUCAGGCAUCUUGAUCACCCUUAAAAGGUAUUUAUUUCUACUGCUGAGUGAAGACAAGUAGAACUGAAGUAUUAGUGAAAAAAAAAAGUAACUGUCACAUUGAGGCGAGGUUGUUAAAUACUAGGAAGGUGGAAGGCCAAUAGGAAAUGUGAGCUGCACAUAGGCUUUUGUCUAUAGUCAUGCCUUCAUUGGCCGUUGGUAAGUUUUCUCCUGAUAGGAGAAAAACAACGUCCACUCAGCUUCCUGCAUGUUAGGAAAGCUCUCAAACAACUGAGCUAUGUCCCCAGCAGUAGACUUUUGAAAUCAUUUUCACACCAGCUUUUGAAAUAGCAUUUUAUCAAAACACGUAUGUAAGCUGGCAGGGUUAUGGGCAGCAUUUAAAAUUUAUACUGAGGGGUUGGGGAUUUACUCAGUGGUAGACAAGCGCAAGGCCCUGGGUUCGGUCCCCAGCUCCG